AUACGUAGGGGGCGAGCGUUGUCCGGAAUGAUUGGGCGUAAAGGGCGCGUAGGCGGCCCGGUAAGUCUGGAGUGAAAGUCCUGUUUUUAAGAUGGGAAUUGCUUUGGAUACCGUCGGGCUGGAGUGCAGGAGAGGUAAGUGGAAUUCCCAGUGUAGCGGUGAAAUGCGUAGAGAUUAAGAGGAACACCAGUGGCGAAGGCGACUUACUGGACUGUAACUGACGCUGAGGCGCGAAAGUGUGGGGAGCAAACAGGAUUAGAUACCCUGGUAGUCCACACUGUAAACGAUGAAUGCUAGGUGUAGGGGGUAUCGACCCCUUCUGUGCCGCAGUCAACACAAUAAGCAUUCCGCCUGGGGAGUACGGCCGCAAGGUUGAAACUCAAAUGAAUCGACGGGG
rnacentral:rRNA from 1 species